CGGGGCCGGAGCCGGAGCCCGAGAGAGACUCGCCGCGCACGCAAGGGGAAGCUGCUGGCUUUACGCUGUCUGCGCAGGGGAGCCGGCCUAAAGCGCUCGCUGAAUAGGGCUCCCGGCCCCAGCCCGGAUGGAGGCGGCCUGUGGCUUUGCACACGGUGCUUUAUGCUGGUAGAAUGAACCCUGGUGACCCUGCCCUGCCAGCCUGACAAGCCCACCUGUUGAAAAGCAUUGUCACGCAGUUUCAUUGCCGUGUGAGUAUGUAUAUGGUGCAUGCCAUACCCUUCUGCAGGUAUGCUCAAUCCCGUUCAGCUCUAGCACUGGCACCAGUUACGUUAGUAAGGUGUUUGGGGGGAUUAAUUAUAUUUUAAGGUGUGCCUUCUAGAUCACAAGAAAUUGCACAUUGAGUCAAUAAGUGCCAAUAUUUGGGGUGUGGCAAGUCCCCUGCCUCUCUGAUUCAUGAAAACAGCAGUCGCUUUCUUUAAGACAGGCAAAAUCUUUCUGUAUCUUUCUCUAAUGUUGGAGCGCGUGAUAGAGCAGCCGUCAUCAUGAAGGAUUCAAAAGCAAUUCACAAACUACUGAAAUUUGGCAUAUUGUUCCAAGCACACAUCUGGAGUGGGAGGGCCAGGUAUUUAGGGUGGGUCCUGCAGUGAAGUCUCAGUUACAGGUUGCUGCUGUGGUUAAGUUCCACUGAUGAUUCCACAAUAGCUAACUGACACCAUUCACUUCAGGAUUUCUGCCCCUCCAACCUGCAUCCUUCAGUGGUAAAAGCACGCAGGUCCUCAAAUGUAUUUAGGCUCCUAAGUUCCAUUGAAACCAAUCUACGAUCCUCUGGGGUAGCUUGUGAACAUCCUAACAACUUUAAACUGGGACCCAAAGUCAUAUGAGGCUUCUUGUGAACAUCUUUGUGUGGUUGAGUGUUUUGGAAACUAUAACACAUGGAGUUAGUUCCACAACUAACUUUUACAUUAUGUUUACUACGCUUUUCUUGUCACCUUAUUGUUUUACAAAAAUAUUUUAAUUUUUCUGAAAAUGUUCAUGGAACAAAUUGAUUUUAAUAAUCACUAGGAAAUUGCUGGAAAUAUUGCAGUAUAAGGGAGGGAGCAGUGCAGGUUUAAAACCUACCAAUCAAAAGGGAGUGGGACAGGGGUUCCUGCCCAGAGACAGGUGACAGCUGGAGACCUGAGACCAAACUAGAAACUCCUGGAGUGGACCAUGGAGGAAAGGGAUACAGGUGCAAUUACCCUGAAAUUGUGACAAAGCGUGUCCUUGGGAGGAAGAUGAGACAGAGCUUCUUUUGGACACGCUACUUGUGGGAAAAGCAGACUUGGGCUGCCUGCUGUUAUUUAUUUCUACUAUGAUCAUGGAAACAGGACUUUGUGUACAUUCUUUGUAAAUAAACACAUUUGCA